AAACACAUGAAACUAAGUUUGAUGGAUAUUUUACAUUACAAUUUAUAAUUCAGUUAUAAUCCAGAUAGCCUAUGUUAUCUCUUUGUUGCAAUCUUUUACUUUAUUUCAAUUUAUGUAUUUGAUAAAUCAGUGGCUAGUAAAUCUUUAAGGCUCUUUUUGAACAACUAAAAAACACAAGUAAGUUUGUAAAGUUGCAGUAAACAGUAAAGUGGCCCAUUAAACAACACUAGAUAAAUCUUGUACUUCAAAUGUACAAUGUGUAAUUUUCGCCACUAGAUGACGCGUUUUCACAACAAACCAAGGCGUAGUUUGAUGACGCCCGUGAAUGAGUGUGGAAUCAUAGGAGUUGUGGUCUUCAUUAAAUACAACAGGACAGGUGCAGAAAUCACGAGCUAAAGUAUUCAACACUUUUAUCAUGGUAGUUUAAAGCAGGGUGAGGCAAAAAGAAGAUCGCUGAAGCCACUGAUAACGAGAGACGAACGCAAUGUGUCACGCAGUGGAACUUUUAUUAUGCCGCAGUCCACGGCUUCCGGUUUGGUGUUUUCAUGUUUCCCUCUUGGUUAGCAUGGCGAAAAAUAUCUGGAUUUAAACAUUCUUGGAAACAUUUCGGGUAAAUAUAAAUUUGACGUGGCUCUGAAAUGUCUGGAAACACCACUGAAUGCACGUUGAUCGGCUAAAAAUAGUACGGAAAUAAUUAAAGGCAUAUCGCAGACGUGACGUUUGUACUGACCCAGAUGACAGAUCUGCUGGCUGGACUUCUGCACAGAGAAAGGGCAACAGCAUCUCCAGCAGUAAAGGACCCUCCACAUCAAAAGCUACAGUGGUCAGCUUAUGAUUUAGAAAACAAAUCACUUAUAAACCAGCAUCCAAGCAUGCUAUAGACCUGAACAAUGCUUCUGUAUUUCCAAAAAAAAAAAAAAAAAA